CGGAAGAGCGUUACCCUGGCAACCCUCCCGCGGAGGCCGAAAGAGGCCACCGGUCCUUUGUUGAUCUGCGAGAAAUCAAACUAGGAACACGACAAGCAUUAGCCUGCAGCUCGAGGAGACAAGGCUCUUUCCACAGCAUCACCCCUGCCCCAGCCCCUGGAGCCACCUGCUUUCCUAAGUGGCUUUGGAAACUGGGCUGAGGUCCCAAACGGUGUCCACUGUGCUGUUGCUCUCCGCUCUCUCCAAGCAAAGCACAAGCUCAGCCGCCUUUGAAAGACACCCACCGCCUGGCCUGGGAAUGCACAAGUUCAGAGCUUUGCAAGAGGUGAUCGUGGGCUAUGGCUUCGUGAAAAUGUCACCCUCACCAGUGCCUUUUUCGCGGACGUGGACGUGGAGGAAUGAGGGAGGGUAAUCACUGGGCUACCAAGGUACUGCUAAGAGCAGAAGAGAAAAUCCCACUUUCCAGCCAUGUGUCUGGUUUGACAUUUCACCAACCCAUUUAAGUGUGCAGGCCCCCAAAUAUCUGCCUAAAGAUUAUGAUAGUUUAGGCAUUUUACACUUGAAAUUAUUGACCUCAUAUCCACUGAAGCCUGACUGGCCAAUGUCUCAAAGACACAGAUGAUGACCUGAUCCCUCAGGAACAGAUGGUGCUCCAGCUUUGUGGAGAUGAAUUUCAAGGAAUAAAUCCAACUUGAUCAUAACAUCCAACUGUGUUGCCCAGGCUAGUCUCAAACUCCUGGAUUCAAGAGCUCCUCUCCUCUCAGCCUACGAAAGUGCUGGGAUUAAAGUCCUGAACUGACAGCCACAAGUGGCACCUGAACAGGGACUUGAACAAAGAAGGUCUGCUGGAGCAGAAAAAGUGAAACUGACCAGAUGAAUGAGAAACCCUGGGAUGAGUCUGCCUGCGGAGGAUAUAAGGAGAUGGAUAAACCGUGUGAGUGCCCUCAAGUUGUGUGCGACCAUGGAAUGGGAGACUGGAGGGAUACAUGGAUCCCAACUACAGGCCCAGCUCCUCCAGUAUGAGCCAUGAGCCAGUUGAAUCUGAAUGUGAAGAUGGAAUGAAGACCGACCAGAGUCACACUGACGUCAACCCUCAUAACAUGGGUCUGUAAAAUCAACUGGAACACCAACCAGCAAUUGAGAGCUGCACAGCCUGCAAUUACCUUUAUUCAAUUAAAUCAAAAGCAGAAGGCGGGAGAUGUUGGAGGCUGAAAGAAUGAGGGUCGUGACCAACUCAGUAUACCACUGGAGGCUAUGUGAGCAAACAGCAAACUGUUCUCAUGAAUACAGGAUAUUGGCAAGCUGACAGCUGCAUCUGCCACCAGAAGGAAUGCUGAGGACAGUCAUGCACCAGGCACAGUGUUCCUUGUAGUUAUCUAUAGGAACAUCUGGACCCUGUUGUAUAAAGAAAGCAAUUAUUUGAGCCUGUGAUAAAUCAAGCAGCUGACUAAAACUGUUACCUCUUCCUCCCUGUUGAUUCUACCUAAUACAUGUGAAGGGCUGUAUAAGCUCAGGGCCCUUGUUCCCUAGAAGCAAGGAGCCCCCUGACCCCUUCUUUACAACAAA